rnacentral:rRNA from 1 species
UACGUAGGGCGCAAGCGUUGUCCGGAAUUAUUGGGCGUAAAGAGCUCGUAGGCGGUUUGUCGCGUCUGCUGUGAAAACUCAGGGCUUAACCCUGAGCCUGCAGUGGGUACGGGCAGACUAGAGUUCGGUAGGGGACCACGGAAUUCCUGGUGUAGCGGUGAAAUGCGCAGAUAUCAGGAGGAACACCAGUGGCGAAGGCGGUGGUCUGGGCCGAUACUGACGCUGUAGAGCGAAAGCGUGGGGAGCGAACAGGA